GCGGGCGUGGUCUAGUGGUUCGGGCCUCAGCCUUCCAAGCUGAUGACGCGAGUCCGAUUCUCGCCGCCCGCU
rnacentral:tRNA from 1 species